rnacentral:rRNA from 1 species
AGUGAACGCUGGCGGUAGGCCUAACACAUGCAAGUCGAACGGCAGCACAGUAAGAGCUUGCUCUUACGGGUGGCGAGUGGCGGACGGGUGAGGAAUACAUCGGAAUCUACUUUUUCGUGGGGGAUAACGUAGGGAAACUUACGCUACUACCGCAUACGACCUACGGGUGAAAGCAGGGGAUCUUCGGACCUUGCGCGAUUGAAUGAGCCGAUGUCGGAUUAGCUAGUUGGCGGGGUAAAGGCCCACCAAGGCGACGAUCCGUAGCUGGUCUGAGAGGAUGAUCAGCCGCACUGGAACUGAGACACGGUCCAGACUCCUACGGAAGGCAGCAAUGGGGAAUAUUGGACAAUGGGCGCAAGCCUGAUCCAGCCAUACCGCGUGGGUGAAGAAGGCCUUCGGGUUGUAAAGCCCUUUUGUUGGGAAAAAAAAGCAGCAGGUUAAUACCCCGCUGUUCUGACGGUACCCAAAGAAUAAGCACCGGCUAACUUCGUG